CCAACAGGGAUUGCCCCAGUAACGGCGAGUGAAGCGGCAACAGCUCAAAUUUGAAAUCUGGCUCUCGGGCCCGAGUUGUAAUUUGUAGAGGAUGCUUUUGGUGAGGUGCCUUCCGAGUUCCCUGGAACGGGACGCCAUAGAGGGUGAGAGCCCCGUCUGGUUGGACGCCGAACCUCUGUAAAGCUCCUUCGACGAGUCGAGUAGUUUGGGAAUGCUGCUCUAAAUGGGAGGUAUAUGUCUUCUAAAGCUAAAUACCGGCCAGAGACCGAUAGCGCACAAGUAGAGUGAUCGAAAGAUGAAAAGAACUUUGAAAAGAGAGUUAAACAGUACGUGAAAUUGUUGAAAGGGAAGCGCUUGUGACCAGACUUGGGCUUGGUUGAUCAUCCGGGGUUCUCCCCGGUGCACUCUUCCGGCCCAGGCCAGCAUCAGUUCGCCCUGGGGGACAAAGGCAUCGGGAACGUGGCUCUCUCCGGGGAGUGUUAUAGCCCGUUGCGUAAUACCCUGCGGCGGACUGAGGUUCGCGCAUUCGCAAGGAUGCUGGCGUAAUGGUCAUCAGUGACCCGUCUUGAAACACGGACCAAGGAGUCGUCUUCGUAUGCGAGUGGUUCGGGUGUCAAACCCCUACGCGAAAUGAAAGUGAACGCAGGUGAGAGCUUCGGCGCAUCAUCGACCGAUCCUGAUGUUAUCGGAUGGAUUUGAGUAGAAGCA
rnacentral:rRNA from 1 species